rnacentral:rRNA from 1 species
GAUGAACGCUGGCGGCGUGCCUAACACAUGCAAGUCGAACGGAAGUAUAAAGGAAGCUUGCGAAUUUAUACUUUAGUGGCGGACGGGUGAGUAACGCGUGGGUAAUCUGCCUUCAAGUGGGGGACAACUCCGGGAAACUGGAGCUAAUACCGCAUAAGCUGCGCAAGCAGUAAAGGUGGCCUCUGAAUAUGCUAUCGCUUGGAGAUGAGCCCGCGUCUGAUUAGCUAGUUGGUGGGGUAAGAGCCUACCAAGGCGACGAUCAGUAGCCGGCCUGAGAGGGUGAACGGCCACACUGGGACUGAGAUACGGCCCAGACACCUACGGGUGGCAG